rnacentral:lncRNA from 1 species
CUGGGCGGCUGCAGCUAGUUAAAUCUCUCCAGGUGAUUCUGAUGUUCCAUGAGAGGAGAACCCCUGACACCCAACCUCCAGUUUAAAGAAGAGGAACUAACCCAGGGCCCAGAUAAUGACUGUCCAGGAGCAUGCACUAGUGGCUCCCAGGGGUGGGGCCCAAGUCCCCUGCCCCCAGGUCAGCAUGCUUUGACUAAGACCACAGAGUCUCACCCAGAUUCCAGAUAGGAGAGAAUGGUGACUUGGUUCCAUUUCAGAGUGCUUUUUGCUUUGGUUUACUCCCAGCAGCAAAUGGGCAGGGCUGGGGAUGGAAGCCAAACACAUAGGGUGUGUCUCCCGAUACCUCUCUUAAAUCUCAGGGAGACACAGUCAGGACUGCAAUAUCUUAUCAGUGCCUGGAUGGGGAGGGGACUGCCAGGUAGGGGAGGAGAGAUGUGGACUCACUGCCGCCCAUAUCUCCAGUCUCCUCAGCACCUAGAAACAACUUACACUGCCUUAUAAGGCUGAAAUGCUGCUGCCAGAGAGCUGUGGGGCCCAGGCCUUGAAUUCUUGGUGCACCAGUGCUUGACAGGCUCCCCUUAUUUCCCACUGGCACCGCUGGGCCUAGGGGUUUUCCUAUUGUUUUUCUAAAGGCAUUCCAAGGCCAGGACAAUGUUAAUUUAAGUUCCUCCAGGCUGAAUUUUUUUUUUUUUUAAUUACAGAGGGGUGUCACUAUGUUGCCCAGGCUAGAAUGCUGUGCACUACAACAGGCUCAAUUCUCUCUCUCUCUCUUUUUUUUUUUUUUGUCGGAGAUGAGAUCAGCUAAUAACAGACUCAAUUCCUGACCUUCCUAGUUUUCUGAGACUGCAUCCACUUUGAUAGUUUCUACUGAGUCCAAAUUAGAACAUCCCAGCUGGUGGGCUGUCUCCCAGGAAGCCCUCGGAGAGGAGCGGUGCAUAGGGGGCACCUGGACACAGCCCACCUCCCCCGAGUAGCGUCAGGUAGGCUUGUCUAUCUACAUCCUUUCGCCCUUUCUCAGGAAACUAUCAGAUGAUGUGCUCCCCCAGAUGAAGAAGUAGUGCCAGGAAAAAGGAGACACGGGAUACAGGGAUCCUGAAGCCGGCGGAGGACAAGGGAGCUCCUGGGAGGACAGCUGUGCUCCGGCCUAGCAAUAGCGAGCAGCUGGUCCAGACUGCCGCCGUGACUCAGAAGAUAGACAUGCGGAGGGUUAUGAUCACAGAGCAACGAUGGUCCUUGUACAUGAAGAUAAAAAUGCUCAGGUGUGCCCAGGUUGAAGAAGAUGAAAGGCCCUGCCUCCCAGAGCGCCCGGGGACACUGGUGAUCUCUUCCAGGUCUGUUUCCACCCACUGCAGCUGUGAUGGAAUCUUGCUCUGUUGCCCAGGCUAGAAUGCAGUGGCGUGAUCUUGGCUCACCAAAAAUUCUGCCUCCUGGGUUCAAGUGCCUCCACACCCAGCUAAUUUUGUAUUUUUAGUAGAGACGAGAUUUCACCAUGUUGGCCAGGCUAGUCUUGAACUCCUGACAUUGUGAUCCACCCACCUCAGCCUCCCAAAGUGCUAAGAUUACAGGUGUGAGCCACCAUGCCCGGCCUACCUGGAGCAUUAUUAAAACCUUAAACCUUUAAAUUUUUCAUCAUUGUGCUUUGUUUCCUUAAAGAUUAGGAAAGGGAUUGUCAGCGGAUAAGACUUGCCCUCUUCUGCUGCUCUCUAGCCGUGGGCAAGUUCCUUCCACUCACUGUGUGUCAUUUUCUUCAUCUGUAAACACAGGAUAAUAGUAACAACACCUCUCUCCUAGGGCCUGGACGGGGCAUGCCAGUAAGGGGUCCUGAAGCUUAGGCCCCUGGGAUUUGGAUAGAGAAAGUCAUGGUGAAGGUGGGUGUGACAUUGGUGAGGUGGCAUUGGACACCCUUCAGGGCCUCUCCUGUCCUCUGUACACUCCAGACAGUGCCCAUUUGUGCAGAGGCUGUCCUGGGUCUCUGCCUGAGGGCUUUCUCUGCUCCUCUACCCCAGACCAAUCCGAAGUGUCCCCACGAGCAACCUUCAACCAAAGAGGGACAGGAGUCGGUGAACAUGCACCUCAGCCUCCUCACCUCUCCGAGGAACUUUAAAAAAAUCUUGUAUUGGCUGCAUGGCAGAGAUGGGGGGAUUGCUUGAGCCUAUGAGUUCACAACCAGGCCUAGGAACAUAGUGAGACCUCCCUCUUCCCUCGGCCCAACCCGCCAACACCCCCAUCUCUACAGAAAAUUUUAAAAUUAGCCAGGCUUCGUGGUGGGAACCGUAAAAAUCUAAGAAGGGUCUCAGUUAAUUUAGAAAGUUUAUUUUUGGCUGGGAGCAGCAGCCCACACCUGUAAUCCCAACACUUUGGGAGACCGAGGCAGGCGGAUCACUUGAGACCAGUUCAUGACAGCCUCAGGAGGUCCUGAUGACAUGUGCCCAGGUAGUGGGGGCACAGCUUGGUUUUAUUUUUAUUUUUUACUUUUUAAAUUAUUAUUAUUUUUUUGAGACGGAGCCUUGCUCUGUCAUCCAGGCUGGAGUGUAGUAGCAUGAUCAUGGCUCACUGUAACCUCCGCCUCCUGGAUUCAAGCGAUCCUCCUGCCUCAGCCUCCCAGGUAGCUGGGAUUACAGGCACAUGACACCACACCCGUCUCAUUUUUGUAUUUUUUAGUAGAGAUGGGUUUUCACCAUGUUGGUCAGGCUGGUCUUGAACUCCUGACCUCAGGUGAUCUGCCUGCCUUGGCCUCCCAAAGUGCUGGGAUUACAGGCGUAAGCCACCACGCCCGGCCACACAGCUUGGUUUUUUCUUUUUUUUUUUUUUUGAGACGGAGUUUCGCUCUUUCACCCAGGCUGGAAUGAAGUGGUGUGAUCUCAGCUCACUGCAGCCUCUGCCCCCCAGGCUCAAGCGAUUCUCCUCCCUCAGCCUCCCGAGUAGCUGUGAUAACAGGUGCCCGCCACCACGCCCGGCUAAUUUUUGUAUUUUUAGUACAGACGGGGUUUCACCACAUUGGCCAGGCUGGUCUCAAACUCCUGACCUCAGGUGAUCCAUCUGCCUCGGUCUCUCAAAGUGCUAGGAUUACAGGCGUGAGCCACCGCGCCAGCCAACAGCUUGGUUUUAUACAUUUUAGGGAGACAUGAGAAGUCAAUCAAUGUAAUAUGUACAUUGGUUCUGUCCGGAAAGGUGGGACAACUCAAGCAGGGAGAGGGUUUCCAGGUGACAGGUAGGUGAGAGACAAAGGGUUGCAUUCUUUUGACUUUCUGAUUAGCCUUUCCAAAGGAGGCAAUCAGAUAUGCAUCUAUCUCAGUAAGCAGAGGAAUGACUUCCUAAUUUUUUUUUUUUUUUGAGACGGACUCUUGCUCUAUCACCCAGGCUGGAGUGCAGUGGCAUGAUCUCCGCUCACUGCAAGCUCCACCUCCUGGGUUCACGCCAUUCUCCUGUCUCAGCUUCCCGAGUAGCUGGGACUACAGG